ensembl:lncRNA novel transcript, antisense to C7orf33 and CNTNAP2
CUCUUUCUCUGUGAAUUUCUUGAGAGCACAGACUACAUUCUGCUUAACUUUUUAUCCCCAGCUUUCAGCACAGUGCCUGGCUCUUCUGUCCAUGGCCCUGUGGGGUGCUCCCUAUGACCAACUGAUGGAGGAAACAAUCUGGGCCUGGUUUGUGGAAGGUUGGACUUCUACUGCAGGACUGCCUGACUCAGAAGUGGCCCUGAAGUUUAUGUGUCUGAGGCGCAUGGCCCCGGGAGAGGAGGAGAAUGGGACGGUGGUUCAGAUCUGCUGAUGUAGCUGUGGUCAGUCACUGGGGAGAAUAGGCCUGUGGAUUUCUGCUCCUCUGAGAUGGAUCCAUCACUGACUACUGAACUUGUUUUCUCAUUGGCUCAACUUAAGAAGGUUCUAGAGGUGAGAAAAGAGUUCACAAAUCCAUUGGUCUGAAUGAGGUGAAUUUCUGAGAUAUGCUUUUAUUUUGGAGAACAGUAUACACAUUUAACUUCUAUUUUCAGUGUAGAAAAAAUGUCUAUCAUGGUUUUUGUCACUCUUAUUAAACACAGAAAGGGUAAAAUGCAGUUAUGGUUAUAGGUUCUCAGUUAUGCCUGAAAAAAAACUGAAGUAAAAUUUAAUUUAUUAAAAAUGAUCAGGAAAUCUUCCCACUACCAUGUAGGAUCAAGGACGUGAAACAACCAAAACCAAAGAGCAGCUGGAGACCACUUGCCAGUGAUUAGCACGAGGUAAGCUGCAAAGAACUUUGAAUUAGGUCAGUCUAAAUAAUAGGGCGUUUUUCAAGUCCUUGCCUUGGGAAGAUCAGGAACACGGUGAAUAAUUGGGAUUACCUUUGUCUCACUAAGAGCCAAACCCCAGGUGUUGUAAGGCUACAAAGCUAUCUCAUUGUCUUCCUGUAUCAUCCAACGCUGAGAUCCUCUGUGACAUUUUAAAUUGCUUAUGUAGCAAAGCAAAUGGAGUACAGUAUUCAAACAUAGUUUUGUGUUUGUAGAGAACAUAAGAAGCUGAAAAUAUGAAUGGAUUCAAAGUGCAUGUAGAAAAAAAUGUGUCUGCUAUCUUUGUGAUUUGUUGCUAAGGAAAUGUUUCAUAGAGUAUUAGUACUGGACGAGCCCAAAGAAAUAAUAAUAUGAAGCCAUGUGAUAUUUGGGAUCCACUUACACUAAAAAUUAUUGUUUAUUACAUUUACAUUAUAUUAUUUGUUCUUUAUCUGAAAUCCGAA